rnacentral:rRNA from 1 species
GGACGAAAGUCUGAUGGAGCAACGCCGCGUGAGCGAAGAAGGCCUUCGGGUCGUAAAGCUCUGUUGUUAGGGAAGAACAAGUAUCGGAGUAACUGCCGGUACCUUGACGGUACCUAACCAGAAAGCCACGGCUAACUACGUGCCAGCAGCCGCGGUAAUACGUAGGUGGCAAGCGUUGUCCGGAAUUAUUGGGCGUAAAGCGCGCGCAGGCGGUCCUUUAAGUCUGAUGUGAAAGCCCACGGCUCAACCGUGGAGGGUCAUUGGAAACUGGGGGACUUGAGUGCAGAAGAGGAAAGCGGAAUUCCACGUGUAGCGGUGAAAUGCGUAGAGAUGUGGAGGAACACCAGUGGCGAAGACGGCUUUCUGGUCUGUAACUGACGCUGAGGCGCGAAAGCGUGGGGAGCAAACAGGAUUAGAUACCCUGGUAGUCCACGCCGUAAACGAUGAGUGCUAAGUGUUAGGGGGUUUCCGCCCCUUAGUGCUGCAGCUAACGCAUUAAGCACUCCGCCUGGGGAGUACG